rnacentral:rRNA from 1 species
CGGGAGCUAUGGGCGAGCCUGAUCCAGCCAUGCCGCGUGUGUGAAGAAGGUCUUCGGAUUGUAAAGCACUUUAAGUUGGGAGGAAGGGCUGCAAGUUAAUACCUUGUAGUUUUGACGUUACCAACAGAAUAAGCACCGGCUAACUUCGUGCCAGCAGCCGCGGUAAUACGAAGGGUGCAAGCGUUAAUCGGAAUUACUGGGCGUAAAGCGCGCGUAGGUGGUUUGGUAAGAUGGAUGUGAAAUCCCCGGGCUCAACCUGGGAACUGCAUCCAUAACUGCCUGACUAGAGUACGGUAGAGGGUGGUGGAAUUUCCUGUGUAGCGGUGAAAUGCGUAGAUAUAGGAAGGAACACCAGUGGCGAAGGCGACCACCUGGACUGAUACUGACACUGAGGUGCGAAAGCGUGGGGAGCAAACAGGAUUAUAUACCCUGGUAGUCCACGCCGUAAACGAUGUCGACUAGCCGUUGGGAUCCUUGAGAUCUUAGUGGCGCAUCUUACGCUAUUUUUUCUACCGU